rnacentral:tRNA from 1 species
CAAAGAAUAGUUAAAUUUAGAAUGCUAGCUUUGGGAGCUAGGGGUGAGAGUUAAAAUCUCUCUUCUUUGAGCAGCAGUA